GAGUUUGUUUUGUUUGUUUGUUUGUUUGUUUGUUUAAACGCGCUAAUCUCAGAAACUACUGAACCGAUUUGAAUAAUUCUUUCACUGUUAGAUAGUCUAUUUAUCGAGGAAGGCUAUAGGCUAUAUUUUAUCCCGGAUUUCCUACGGGAAACGUCAACAAUGCAGUCGGCCAUCUGCGAGCUUUCCACGCGAACGCUGCGCAAACCAACAAAGAUAUAGUAAAACAAUGUACUAAAGAUGUGAAGUACUCAUUUUUUGCCACAAAAAAGUCCGCGAGAGCAUAUAUCUAUCUCUUAAGGUUUACUUACAAUAACCACUUUUAUGUUCAUUUUUUAAGAUUAUUUUUUGAUUAUAAACAUAAGUUAUUUUGAAACCAAUUUUCUUUAAUUCAGUAUUAAUCCUUAUCCAAAUAAAUAUGUUUAUUACUUUCGGCUUUUCAUGUAGACUAAAAUUGCCAUUUACAGUAUAUAAAUCAGACGAAUAGGUUUUGAGAUAUAGUCGUUAUAAGCAAUUUGCAGCGAAACAUUUAAUACGGCGAACCAGCGUUUUUUCUAAUACGCGUGACCGCCUGACCGCCCCCCCCCCCCUUGAUAAAGCCGAGGAGGAUGUUUGCAAAAAUAAAUAUGAUUCCCAAAAUAACUAUUCCACGCGGACGAAGUCGCGGGCACAGCUAGUAAAUACAUAAAAUGCAAAAGAGUUUUUAAACACUAAACCAAAUUGUCUGAGCCAGAUUAAUUUUGGAAUUAAAAAAAUUUGAAGCGAAAAAAAAAUAAUUCACCCUUUAUUUACUAUUGAUUUGCGUCGUACCAAUUCACAGACAUUGAAAUGAUAGAAGAUAAUAGAAAUGCCAAAUUAUACUUCUAUAUAAUUCAAAUUCAAAUUUUUAUAUGCAUAACAUUAGUACCUACAACAAGGUGUUAAAUUUUACAUAACAUAUCUUCAUAUUUAUAUAACCUACGCACGCGAUUAUUUUCGUAGUUUAACAGCUGUCAAAUUCUUUGGUCGUAUCCAAAUCUACUAUGCUCUAUACAAAUUGACCGAAAAUUAAAUUCGUUUGGUGGUAUACAAUAUAAUACAUUUUUGAAUGUAUUCAAAGAUAGAUCUGAUAAAU